AGAGACAGCAGUAGCCGCGGUAAUACGUAGGGUGCAAGCGUUAAUCGGAAUUACUGGGCGUAAAGCGUGCGCAGGCGGUUCGCUAAGACAGAUGUGAAAUCCCCGGGCUUAACCUGGGAACUGCAUUUGUGACUGGCGGGCUAGAGUAUGGCAGAGGGGGGUAGAAUUCCACGUGUAGCAGUGAAAUGCGUAGAGAUGUGGAGGAAUACCGAUGGCGAAGGCAGCUCCCUGGGCCAAUACUGACGCUCAUGCACGAAAGCGUGGGGAGCAAACAGGAUUAGAUACCCCUGUAGUCCCUGUCUCUUAUAA
rnacentral:rRNA from 1 species